UACGGAGGGAGCUAGCGUUGUUCGGAAAUACUGGGCGUAAAGCGCACGUAGGCGGCGCAGCAAGUCAGGGGUGAAAUCCCGGGGCUCAACCCCGGAACUGCCCUUGAAACUGCAGUGCUAGAAUCUUGGAGAGGCGAGUGGAAUUCCGAGUGUAGAGGUGAAAUUCGUAGAUAUUCGGAAGAACACCAGUGGCGAAGGCGACUCGCUGGACAAGUAUUGACGCUGAGGUGCGAAAGCGUGGGAGCAAACAGG
rnacentral:rRNA from 1 species